AGAAUAUGGAGGAUCAGAACCAAGAGUACAGGCCGGACUACAAGUUGGGUGAAGACCUGACAACAUACCCGUAGAAGGAUAAUUGUUUUCAAGAUAAGGAGGUGAAGGUAUAAAAUUGAAAGAGUUCCAGCGUUGGCCAUACAUCCAAGGAGAAAAGACAGGCACAUCAUGAGAAUAAAUGACAAAACUUCUAAAAUUUCAAAGGUUUCUUUUUGGAGAUGGACUAGGUCAUUGGCCACAGCUAAAAAAUACUAAUUAGUUGACAUUUUAAUAUAGAUUAUGGGUAAGAUUCAAAAGCAACACAGUGUUUGAAAGAUGUUAGUUUUCUCAUAACAUUAUCAGUGUUACCAAAAAACAAUUGCAGCAGAAGAGACAAGACCACUGAGUACAAACCAGCUAGUGAGCUGAGAGACUGGCCUGGCAGCAGGUAAUAGGAAUCCUGAGCUAGCGAGGUUAGGGUUCAUGGACAGGUGCAAGGCAGGCAUGCGGGAUUGCGGGUGUAAAGCCCAUGUGUACACACUGGCUCACAAAGUAGCAAAACCAGAGACAAGGUAGAGAGAAGAGUGGGAUCAAAGAUUAUCCUCACAACCUGGAAUCUGAGGUAUCAAGCCUAGACCGAAACUUGCAGUGAAACACCUCAAAUUUCAGUUGCUGCCAGAUUUGGGAGAAUAAAAAGUCACAAAUGAGGUUCUGCUGAGGAAUUACAAUUGGCAGGGAAAAAAGAGAGAGAGAGAGCAAGAGAGAGAGAGAGAGAGAGCACUGUAUUAUAAGUGCAUAAGAUAAGAAUGAAGUAACACCACGGUUAGAAAACAUAUGUUAUUUUUUACAGAGGGAAACCUAGAUCUUUCCAUUUCCUUAUUUAAAUGAUGUCACUACUCAUAUUAAUUUAUGUGUCAUCCAAGCUUUGUUCAUAUUUAUUUCAGUCAAUUUAAUUAGAAAUAUGGUCAUGGAAAAUACAUAUUGGUUGGUAUACGUCCUAAAAUCUUGGACUCGUGUCCUGUGCAGAGAAGUCUCUCUGGUAAGACUUGGUCUCCCACCUAAACAGCCCAUCACCAGGUCCUCUCCCAGCCCCAUAACAUCUCCCCGUGCAUCUGCUUCUUCUUUUCCUCAAUGCCUCUACUUUGUUCAGCGCUUCAGUGUAUUUUGCUUGGAUUACUGAAAUGUCUUCUCAAAUUCUUUGUUCACGUUCAAGCCAGGAUGAUCUUCACAACCGAGAAAUUACAUCAUGCCCCUUCCUGCUGCCAUUAGGAGCCCAGCUCCAUUAUGACACAGCUGUGCCACUUUGUUGGGCUUCUCCCUCACUGAACUCUCCUUACUGGACUGUAACCCAGGACUGACUGAACUGAAACACACUGGGGAUGCACAAAUGUAUUUUUAUUCGUCAUGACAGAUGCUCUUUGAAACUUGUGAGAACAGAAGUUCAGUUAAUGUGUUUCCCAUUUGUUCUUAUAACAGACAGAGGCCAAAAGACGCAGUGAGAAGGUCCUCACUUUUCAUCUAAUGUCUUAACCCAGUAGAUGACCAGAAAAUUAAGGAUCGGAAUUUAUUCCCUCAAUAAAUAUUAAGCACGUAGCAGGUGCCCAAAACUGGACGAGGCACAAGGGGUAAAACUAUGAAUACGAACAGCCCUUCUCCUCAGGAAAUUCACCAUGAUAACAGCAGUUAUGAUGCAAACCUGUCGUGAUGGCAGAGUAGCACGGAGCGCUACGGGAGGACGGAUGAGGGGCACCUGACACUAAGAGGAGGUCGGGAAAACCAUCCAACCGCGGCGCGCACGGUUGAAUUGUGCGGAAGGGGAGGCAUGGCAGCUGACUUGUCUCACAACUGGUACAUAACAGAAGUAAGAGCCAGCCCAGGACCUCCAACCCAAAUCUCGUUGUACUUCACUACACUACUUCGGUCUUCUCAUCUGCAAAAAUGGAGAUAUUAUUACUCCUUAAACCUUCUGUGAAGAUUAAGUAAAACAUAUGAAGCGCGCGAGCCCCAUGCGUGCUCAUGGCACACCUCACCAGUGCCCACCAGCACUGGCUCUCCUGCCCGCCCUGGACACUCACAGGACUCCAUGUCCCAGAUCCCUUGCAAGGAGGCAGAGUCUUGUGACUAUUUCUGGCCAACACAUCAAAGCAGCUAAGAGCCAAUGUCCACUUCUGAUGGUAGGACCAGGGUGACCGUAGGUUCUGGAUGGUGGAGCUGCAGGUGAUGAAGCCUCUGCCAGCCAGAGUCUCUGGGCAACUAUUAGGACAAGCAACCUCCUGCCACCACACCAUGGGAAUACAUUUGUGUUUUGUUAAACUA